CCGGUGUCAAUACAUUUAGGAAUGUUUGUAAACAAAUUAAUAAGAAUGGAAUAAGAUUACACAUAAAAUAAGUACAAUGCAAUAUGCAACCCUGUGUGUUUGUGUGUGCGUGUGUGCCCGUGUGUGAAUUAAAGGGACUGUCUAGCUCAGUAGUCUGCAUAUUAGUUGCAGUAGUUGGCGCACCUCUCCUAUCUCUGAUUGUUCUAGGGGUCUUCUGCCAGAGGUUACCUCAGCAUAUGUAGGCUGACGAUCUGACUGAUACAUGGUGUGGACUGCAUCAUGUGGUCUACUUCCCUGAAGGGCAGUGUUCUGACCGACCCUGGAGUAGUGGUCAGAGCUGUUUUGUGAUGGGUCUGGUCUGGUAGAGCUGUGUUGUGAUGGGCCAGGUCUAGUAGAGCUGUGUUGUGAUGGGCUGGGUCUAGUAGAGCUGUGUAGUGAUGGGCCAGGUCUAGUAGAGCUGUGUUGUGAUGGGCCGGGUCUAGUAGAGCUGUGUUGUGAUGGGCCGGGUCUAGUAGAGCUGUGUUGUGAUGGGCCGGGUCUAGUAGAGCUGUGUUGUGAUGGGCCGGGUCUAGUAGAGCUGUGUUGUGAUGGGCCGGGUCUAGUAGAGCUGUGUUGUGAUGGGCCGGGUCUAGUAGAGCUGUGUUGUGAUGGGCCGGGUCUAGUAGAGCUGUGUUGUGAUGGGCCAGGUCUAGUAGAGCUGUGUUGUGAUGGGACGGGUCUAGUUGUGCUGUCCUGAGGCGGAUCUGGUCUGGUAAAUAUGUGCUGUGUUGGGCCUGGUCUAGUAGAGCUGUGCUGUAAUAAGCCAUGUCUGGCUCUUUUCUCUUCGGGAUGGUGGAGGUACUGUUGUUUCAGAAGGUGGGGCGGGGGACCUCUGUAGCUGGGGUGAUGGGUGUGUGGGUCCCUGCCAAGCGUUGCAUCUUUUAGGUCCUUGGCAAAGGUUCUGAUGCUGUCCUGAUCAAGAUGUAUAUUAUCAUAUAAGUGUUGACAUGUCAGAGUGGGGUGGUGAGCCGUUCUGACGUUGAGCAGUGAGGCACAGUCCACAGUGAUCUGUUGAUUUAUUUUGUCGAUCAACUUUCCUGGGAAGUCUUUUCUUGGUAGGAGGGUGGACACAACUAUAUUGGUUGUUGGGAACACAGCCUGUGCCCGUUC
ensembl:lncRNA